GAUGAAGAACGCAGCGAAAUGCGAUAAGUAAUGUGAAUUGCAGAAUUCAGUGAAUCAUCGAAUCUUUGAACGCACCUUGCGCCCUUUGGCCAUUCCGAAGGGCAUGCCUGUUUGAGUAUCAUGAACACCUCAACUCUUCAUGGUUUUCCGUGAUGAGCUUGGACUUUGGGGGUCUUGCUGGCCUAUGGUCAGCUCCUCUAAAAUAAAUCAGCUUGCCAGUGUUUGGUGGGUAUCACAGGUGUGAUAACUAUCUACGCUUGUGGUUUUCCACCAGGUAACCUUCAGCAGUGGAGGUUCGCUGGAGCUCACAGAUGUGUCUCUCCUCAGUGAGGACAGCUCUUUGAAUGUUUGAUCUCAAAUCAGGUAGGACUACCCGCUGAACUUAAGCAUAUCAAUAAGCGGAGA
rnacentral:misc_RNA from 1 species